rnacentral:rRNA from 1 species
UUCCCCUGAACACACCCGGUCUCGUCUGAUCUGGGAAGCUAAGCAGGGUCGGGUCUGGGUGGUACUUGCAUGGGAGACCACCUGGGAAUACCGGGU